AUUGAACGCUGGCGGCAUGCCUUACACAUGCAAGUCGAACGGUAACGCGGGGCAACCUGGCGACGAGUGGCGAACGGGUGAGUAACGCAUCGGAACGUGCCCAGUAGUGGGGGAUAGCCCGGCGAAAGCCGGAUUAAUACCGCAUACGACCUACGGGUGAAAGAGGGGGAUCGCAAGACCUCUCGCUAUUGGAGCGGCCGAUGUCAGAUUAGGUAGUUGGUGGGGUAAAGGCCUACCAAGCCUACGAUCUGUAGCUGGUCUGAGAGGACGACCAGCCACACUGGGACUGAGACACGGCCAAGACUCUUACGGGAGGCAGCAGUGGGGAAUUUUGGACAAUGGGCGCAAGCCUGAUCCAGCCAUGCCGCGUGCGGGAAGAAGGCCUUCGGGUUGUAAACCGCUUUUGUCAGGGAAGAAACGCUCUGGACUAAUAAUCUGGGGUAAUGACGGUACCUGAAGAAUAAGCACCGGCUAACUACGUGCCAGCAGCCGCCGCCGUAA
rnacentral:rRNA from 1 species